UUUUUUUUUCCCCCCAGAUUCGUCAAAACGUCUCAGCAGAGAAAGAGAAUUUUCCCGUGGCCUUGGAAAGCAAAGAAAAUCAGAGCACCCAGGAGUGUGAUUCUCAAGAUGUUGCCAAGACGUGUUUGGGGAGUCACAAUAAUUCGACAUCUCAUUUGAAGGCAGCAGAAACAGAGACAAGCUCUCAGAAGUUGCACAGCCUCCCACGGACUAAACCCGAAGACAAAAAAUCACCUGAAAGAGAUGAGAAAAAAUCAGAAGAGCCUGUUAGUACAAAAGAAAAAAAACUCUAGGCACUACUAACCCACAUUAAGAACGCCAUUCACUUGCUUCCACCUUCAGAUUCUUUUUAGUGCAAAGUCAUGAAAUGUACCGGGUUUCUAAAGCAUGCAUUUUUCACUAUUUUAUGAAUGUUUGUAAAUUAGUCUAGAAUAGACCGAUUAGUACCUUCCAGCCAUAAUCCAAAAGGGAUGUUUGAAGAAACUCUUCAGAAUACAGCCCAGUUUUUGAACUCUUGUUCUACACAUAAGUAUUUGCAUAGUUUCUUUGUAAACAAAAGCCAAUCUUAAGUAUUUUCUCAGUCUGUUCUAUUUCAUGUACCUUUAUGGCAGAUUAGGUUUUUAAAUUAAGAUUAAAGGGGCAGCUGGGGAGGGGGGGAGAAAUAUCUGUGUAGCCAUAGUUGAAGUACAACUCGUAAGUGCAGCUGUAAAAAGGGAACUGUGGAUGGGGGGGGGAGGGAGGGGUCCAUGUAUUACCUUUCAGUAAUACCAUUUCAAUUCUACUAAUUUAAACAAUAAAAGAUGUUUAUUUGUUU